GUGAACGCUGGCGACGUGGAUAAGGCAUGCAAGUCAAGGGGGCCCGCAAGGGCAACCGGCAGACGAGGUAGUAAUACGUAGGUACGAACCUAGAAGACGGGGAUAGCUCAUCGAAAGAUGGGGUAAUACUCGAUGGACCCUUGCCGCAAGGUGUAGGGUAAAGUCGCAAGACACUUCUUGAUCGGCCUGCGGAGUAUCAGGUAGUUGGUAGGGUAAUGGCCUACCAAGCCUAUGACGCUUAGGGGAGGUGAGAGCCUGACCCCCACCGAUGGAACUGAGAUACGGUCCAUACACCUACGGGUGGCCGCAGCCGAGAAUAUUCGACAAUGCACGAAAGUGUGAUCGAGCGACGUCGCGUGAUUGAUGAAGUCCUUAGGGGCGUAAAGAUCUUUUAUGAGGGAGAAAGUAACAUCGCUUGCGGUGUUAUUGAUGUUACCUCAUGAAUAAGGAGCUGCUAAUCACGU
rnacentral:rRNA from 1 species